CAUGCAAGUCGAACGAAACUUAGUGAACCUCGGUUUGCUAAGUUUAGUGGCGCACGGGUGCGUAACGCGUGGGAAUCUACCCCUAGCUGCGGAAUAACUCAGAGAAAUUUGAGCUAAUACCGCAUAAUGUCGCAAGACCAAAGAUUUAUCGSCAAGGGAUGAGCCCGCGUAAGAUUAGCUUGUUGGUGAGGUAAAAGCUCACCAAGGCGACGAUCUUUAGCUGGUCUGAGAGGAUGAUCAGCCACACUGGGACUGAGACACGGCCCAGACUCCUACGGGAGGCAGCAGUGGGGAAUAUUGGACAAUGGGCGCAAGCCUGAUCCAGCAAUGCCGCGUGAGUGAUGAAGGCCCUAGGGUUGUAAAGCUCUUUUACUAGGGAUGAUAAUGACAGUACCUAGAGAAUAAGCUCCGGCUAACUCCGUGCCAGCAGCCGCGGUAAUACGGAGGGAGCUAGCGUUGUUCGGAAUUACUGGGCGUAAAGCGCGCGUAGGCGGCUCGUCAAGUCAGGGGUGAAAGCCCGGGGCUCAACCCCGGAACUGCCUUUGAAACUAGCGAGCUAGAAUCUUGUAGAGGUUAGCGGAAUUCCGAGUGUAGAGGUGA
rnacentral:rRNA from 1 species